AGCCACAGGCGGUGAUGCUGCGGCUGAUCCAUACAAUCUAACAUAUGCUACUGUCAGAAAACCAAGGAAGGGAAAAGGUGGUGAUGAUGUGGCUGGUCAACACAACGUGACGUAUGCUACUGUCAGAAAACCAAGCAAGGAGAAAGAACCAAAAGAGUCCGGAGCAAGUACCAAGCCAUGCCAACCAGAAGAGCCUGUUGUCUAUUCUUCAAUUAGUGAUCAUG